rnacentral:misc_RNA from 1 species
UAGUACAGAGAUCACAGAGAAAAAGAGAGAGAAAGAAGAUUGGGAUUCGAAAAAACCUCUUCCUCUUUCCUCUCUUUUCUUCCUCUGUGA